rnacentral:misc_RNA from 1 species
AGCAGCCGCGGUAAUUCCAGCUCCAAUAGCGUAUAUUAAAGUUGUUGCAGUUAAAAGCUCGUAGUUGAAUUUCGGAAUCUGUCCGUCGGUCGGGCUUAACUGUCCGUACUGGUGUGGUGGGUUCUUACCUUCUGAAUAACCAGCAUGCCAUUAAUUUGGUGCGUUGGGGAAGCAGGACUAUUACCUUGAAAAAUUGAGUGCUCAAAGCAGGCUAGUGCCUGAAUACAUUAGCAUGGAAUAAUAAAAUAGGACGGCAUGGUUCUAUUUUGUUGGUUUCUAGGAUCACCGUAAUGAUUAAUAGGGAUAGUUGGGGGCAUUAGUAUUCAAUUGUCAGAGGUGAAAUUCUUGGAUUUAUU